AUGCCAAUUCAGCCUCCACACUUCCUAGCUGGCCGGCCCGGCCAUACUAGCCCUCAGCUCGCAGGGCGGGCGGGAGAAGCCAAGGGGAGCAGACUGGAAGGGCCCCGAGCUCAGGCCAGAGGGGCUCUGGACACACUGGCUACAUUGUUACCAUCAACACUCCCGCUACAUUACUGCUGCAGGAAUGGCUACACAGUUACCCUUAAUACUCAGCCACAUCAUUACUACAGGAACGGCUACAUUGUUACCCUUAAUACUCUGCUACAUUACUGCUACAGUAAUGGCUACAUGAUUACCAUUAAUACUCAACUACAUCAUUACUACACGAAUGGCUACACAGCUACCAUUAAUACUCAGCUACAUUGCUGCUAUGGUAAUGGUUACAUUGUUACCCUUAAUACUCAGCCACAUCAUUACUACAGGAACGGCUACAUUGUUAUUAUUAAAACUCAGCUACAUUAUAACUAUAGUAAUGGUUACAUUGUUGUCAUUAACACUCAGCUACAUUAUUACUACACUAAUGGUUACGUUGUUAGCAUUAACACUCAGCUAUAUUAUUACUAUAGUAAUGGCGACAUAGUUAUCAUUAGUAUUACAACACUAAUGGCUACAUUGUUAUCAUUAACACUCAGCUACAUUAUAACUAUACUAAUGGCUAUAUUAUUAUCAUUAACACUCAGCUACAUUAUUACUAUACUAAUGGCUACAUAGUUAUCAUUAGUAUUACAACACUAAUGGCUACAUUGUUACCAUUAACACUCAGCUACAUUAUUAGUACAGGAAUGGCUACAUUAUUAUCAUUAACACUUAGCUACAUUAUUACUACAGGAAUGGCUACACUGUUGUCAUUAACACUCAGCUACAUUAUUACUAUAGUAAUGGCUACAUUGUUACCAUUAACAGUCAGCUACAUUAUUACUACAGGAAUGGUUACAUCGUUCAUUCAUGCUACAUUAUUACUACACUAAUGGCUACAUUAUUAUCAUUGACACUCAGCUACAUUAUUACUAUAGUAAUGGCUACAUUGUUACCAU
rnacentral:lncRNA from 1 species